rnacentral:rRNA from 1 species
GACGAACGCUGGCGGCGUGCUUAACACAUGCAAGUCGAACGGAAAGGCCCUGCUUUUGUUGGGUUCUCGAUUGGCGAUCGGGUGAGUAACACGUGUGUAACCUGCCCUUGACUUUGGGAUAACUUCAGGUAACUGGUGCUAAUACCGUAUAGGAUCUCCUGCUGCAUUGUGGGGGUUGGAUAGUUUCGGCGGUUGGGGAUGGACUCGCGGCUUAUCAGCUUGUUUGUGGGGUAGUGGCUUACCAAGGGUUUGACGGGUAGCCGGCAUGAGAGGGUGACCGGCGACAUUGGGACUGAGAGACGGACCAGAGUGCAACGGGAGGCAGCAGUGGGGAAUAGUGCACAAUGGGAGGAAGGAUGAUGCAGAAAAGCGGCGGGCGGGAUGACGGCCUUCGGGUUGAAAAAAGCUUUAGACUGUGACGAAGCGUGAGUGACGGUAAUGGGUAAAGAAGCACCGGCUAACUACGUG